AACGUAGGUCACAAGCGUUGUCCGGAAUUACUGGGUGUAAAGGGAGCGCAGGCGGGAAGACAAGUUGGAAGUGAAAUCUAUGGGCUCAACCCAUAAACUGCUUUCAAAACUGUUUUUCUUGAGUAGUGCAGAGGUAGGCGGAAUUCCCGGUGUAGCGGUGGAAUGCGUAGAUAUCGGGAGGAACACCAGUGGCGAAGGCGGUCUACUGGGCACCAACUGACGCUGAGGCUCGAAAGUGUGGGUAGCAAACAGG
rnacentral:rRNA from 1 species